UACGGAGGGUGCAAGCGUUAUCCGGAUUCACUGGGUUUAAGGGUAGCGUAGAGGCAGGGUAGUCAGUGUGAAUCCCAAGCCUUAACUUGGGAACUGCCGUUGAUACUAUCUGUCUUGAAUACCGUGGAGGUGAGCGGAAUAUGUCAUGUAGCGGUGAAAUGCUUAGAUAUGACAUAGAACACCAAUUGCGAAGGCAGUUCGCUACACGAAUAUUGACUCUGAGGCACGAAAAGCGUGGGGAUCAAACAGG
rnacentral:rRNA from 1 species